AUUGAACGCUGGCGGCAGGCUUAACACAUGCAAGUCGAGCGGAGAUGAGGUGCUUGCACCUUAUCUUAGCGGCGGACGGGUGAGUAAUGCUUAGGAAUCUGCCUAUUAGUGGGGGACAUCAUUCCGAAAGGAAUGCUAAUACCGCAUACGCCCUACGGGAGAAAGCAGGGGAUCUUCGGACCUUGCGCUAAUAGAUGAGCCUAAGUCGGAUUAGCUAGUUGGUGGGGUAAAGGGCUACCAAGGCGACGAUCUGUAGCGGGUCUGAGAGGAUGAGCCACCACACUGGGACUUAGACACGGGCCAGACUCCUACCGGAGGCAGCAGUGGGGAGUAUUGGGCAGUGGGCGCAAGACUGAUCCAGCCUUGCCGCGGGUGUGAAGAAGGCGUUCGGGUUGUAAAGCACUUUCAGUAGGGAGGAAGGGUUAAGUGUUAAUAAUACUUACAUUUGACGUUACCUACAGAAGAAGCACCGACUAACUCUGUGCCAGCCGCCGCAGUAAUAC
rnacentral:rRNA from 1 species